rnacentral:rRNA from 1 species
AGCGAACGCUGGCGGCAGGCCUAACACAUGCAAGUCGAACGAACUCUUCGGAGUUAGUGGCGGACGGGUGAGUAACACGUGGGAACGUGCCUUUAGGUUCGGAAUAACUCAGGGAAACUUGUGCUAAUACCGAAUGUGCCCUUCGGGGGAAAGAUUUAUCGCCUUUAGAGCGGCCCGCGUCUGAUUAGCUAGUUGGUGAGGUAAAGGCUCACCAAGGCGACGAUCAGUAGCUGGUCUGAGAGGAUGAUCAGCCACAUUGGGACUGAGACACGGCCCAAACUCCUACGGGAGGCAGCAGUGGGGAAUCUUGCGCAAUGGGCGAAAGCCUGACGCAGCCAUGCCGCGUGAAUGAUGAAGGUCUUAGGAUUGUAAAAUUCUUUCACCGGGGACGAUAAUGACGGUACCCGGAGAAGAAGCCCCGGCUAACUUCGUGCCAGCAGCCGCGGUAAUACGAAGGGGGCUAGCGUUGCUCGGAAUUACUGGGCGUAAAGGGAGCGUAGGCGGACAUUUAAGUCAGGGGUGAAAUCCCGGGGCUCAACCUCGGAAUUGCCUUUGAUACUGGGUGUCUUGAGUAUGAGAGAGGUGUGUGGAACUCCGAGUGUAGAGGUGAAAUUCGUAGAUAUUCGGAAGAACACCAGUGGCGAAGGCGACACACUGGCUCAUUACUGACGCUGAGGCUCG